UACGUAGGGGGCUAGCGUUGUCCGGAAUCAUUGGGCGUAAAGCGCGCGUAGGCGGCCUCACAAGUCCGCUGUAAAAGUCAAAGGCUCAACCUUUGAAUGCCAGUGGAAACUGUGAGGCUAGAGUCCGGAAGAGGCGAGUGGAAUUCCUGGUGUAGCGGUGGAAUGCGCAGAUAUCAGGAGGAACACCAACGGCGAAGGCAGCUCGCUGGGACGGUACUGACGCUGAGGCGCGAAAGCGUGGGGAGCAAACAGGAUUAGAAACCCCUGUAGUCC
rnacentral:rRNA from 1 species